UUGUUGAAGUUUUUAUGAUUCCCAAUUCCAAUUUUUCCUCAGCGUUUUCAUGUAGUAUCUACGACUAAAAUUAACCCAAAAAUCAUGAUUUCUUUGCAACUACUGGCUUAAUUUUGUGAUUGACAUUCUGCUUUAUUCUUUUGGCAGAAAGGUGUGUGAAUGAAGUAAUGGAGUCAAAAGGUGGUAAGAAGAAGUCUAGCAGUAGUAGUUCCUCCUUUUUGUACGAAGCUCCUCUCGGUUACAUCAUUGAAGACGUUCGACCUAACGGUGGAGUAGAAAAAUUCAAAUCUGCUGAUUACUCAAACGUAAGUUGUUCCCAUUUCAAUUUCAAUUCCUUUGAAUAAUUUUAACAUUAUAGUAGAUAGUAUAAGAUUGGUUGACUUGGCUUUGUUUUUUAACACCCUUUGUUCUUUAUUAUGCAGUGCACCCGCAAACCAUCCUGAGAUUUUUUGGGUUCUGAUAUAGUUCUUAGGAUUUUCAUUCUGCAAAAUUAUUUUAAGUUUACUCCUCUCCUUUUUCUUGUCCUCCCUCCUCUUUGCUUUUUCUUCAACCCUGGUUUCCUUUCUCUACAAGCAACAAAAAUUAUUUUCCCCUUUGAGUCAAGAUGACCGUGACAAACUCAGCUAUCGGUUUUGAAGGCUAUGAAAAGAGGCUUGAGAUAACUUUUUUCGAAAAUGGUUUUUUCUCUGAUCCUGCUGGAUUAGGCCUCCGAGCAUUGUCCAAAGACCAAAUUGACGAGAUUCUGAAACCAGCAGAAUGCACUAUUGUGGACUCACUAUCUAAUGAUGACGUGGAUUCGUAUGUUCUUUCGGAGUCAAGCUUAUUCAUCUAUGCUUACAAGCUUAUCAUCAAAACAUGCGGGACUACAAAAUUGCUUCUGUCUAUCCCUGCAAUUCUUAAGCUUGCCGAUUGUGUUAACAUUGCUGUGAAAUCAGUGAGAUACACUCGCGGAAGCUUCAUUUUCCCUGGAGCUCAAUCAUUCCCUCAUCGAAGCUUCUCUGAGGAAGUUGCUGUUCUUGACAGCUAUUUUGGCAAACUUGGUUCUGGUAGCCAAGCUUACAUGAUGGGUGAUGCUGAUAAGUCACAAAUUUGGCACAUUUACUCCGCUAGUGCUAAGCUAGAAGCUUCACCGGAAGCUGUCUAUGGCCUUGAAAUGUGCAUGACUGGUCUAAGAUAAAGAAAAGGCAUCGGUCUUUUUCAAGACAGAUAAAUCUUCUGCAGCUUCGAUGACUGAGAAUUCUGGAAUCAGGAAGAUCCUACCAAAAUCCGACAUAUGUGACUUUGAAUUUGAACCUUGUGGGUACUCAAUGAACGGAAUUGAAGGAAGUGCUAUAUCCACUAUCCAUGUCACCCCAGAAGAUGGAUUCAGCUAUGCAAGCUUUGAAGCAGUGGGUUAUAGCUUUGAGGAGAAAUCUCUGAAUGAACUUGUUGGAAGGGUUUUAGCAUGUUUCUAUCCAGCUGAGUUUUCUGUUGCAUUGCACAUUGAUACAAAUGGUGAAAAACUUGACAAAUUUCCUGUGGAGGUUAAAGGAUACAGCUGUGGAGAAAGGAUCAAUGAAGUGCUUGGAGAAGACGGCGCUGUUGUGUACCGUACCUUUGUUCGAAACGAUGGCUGCUCAUCUCCAAGGUCUACUUUGAAAUGUUGCUGGAGUGAGGAUGAGAACGAGGAGGAAGUUAAGGAGAUAUAGUACUUUGGUCUUAUAUGUUAUGUUAUUAGUGUUAUGUUUACUGUUAAUCUUAAAUAAAUUUGAGUCUUUGUGAAAGCGAAUCAAUGAAGUGUUAUGUUAUCAGUGUUGUUACUUUGAAUAAAUUUGAGCUUUUGUUGUGAAAGCGAAUCAAUAAAGUGUUACAUUGCUUGAUAAUAUUUUUUUAUAGUUUAUUGAUGAUUCCAUAUGUGAGUGUUCUACCUGGAUUAUACCUCUAAAUAAAUAAAUAAAUAUUUGUUGUUAAAACACCUGCAAAACAUUUUGUAUAAUUUAAUCAUCAUACGAUAAUGAUCAGUGUAGCAAAGAAAUAAAAGAAAUGAAAAGUUAUGCUUGAUGGUGAUUGUGAAUCAAUGAAAAACAUAAUUUCAUUUUUAAAUUAUUUGGAUUUACAUGCAUCAUCAUUCAUCUUUCAUGAUGAUGCUAGUGCAACUAUGAGUCAGCUUUAUUUACAUGCAUCGUAUACGGCACUGGACAAGGGACCAACAAUAACUUUAUAAAUCAAUUAUUUAUGCACUUUUUCAUCUUAUUAUUGCGCAAUAAAAAACAAGUUCGUGGCUGUGAUGAUGUGCCCCAAAAAUGUGUAUGUGUGUGGCUGUAGUAUAUAGUAUGGGUAAAAGUUAGUAAAGGAUUUGUGGCUAGAAAUGGUUUCAGUUUUUUUGAUUCUGCAGUAGGACCGAGACACACGAACCACGUGAUUCCUUUAGAUAUGCUAUCAAAUUCUAUUACGUCCAUGCACUUGGAGAGCUGUAUAUGUAGUGUACUCUUUGAGAUACAUUACACUCAAUGUUACCAUAUAGAUAAACCAUAUUUCUCAUCUAUGGAUCAUUGAUUGAAUUCAAGUGUCACACGUGAUAAUACAAUGUUUUUUAACAUAAAAAGUCAUGAAAAAGAUAGAGAGAAAAUAGUUGAAUUUGUUGGAGCAACAAGAUAAUCACAUCCCCUAUAUCAUAGUCUCGUUUGUGGCUGCAUCUGUCAUUACCAUACUUGUUAAUGUCAAAAAAUUUAAGGAAGUUUGGGAUGUGAUUCUGAACGCAAUGUUUGCUAGCAAGUGUAUAAGCCUGUUUGAUUGCACGACAUAAAAGUUAAAUGCGCAUCUGGAGUAACUUUCAUCACAAUUUUCAAAAGCUCCAAUUCUAAGCUUUGGCGGCAACGCGGUUUUGGAUCGUGAGUUUGGUGACUUCAAUGCUAAAGUAAACACACUAUAGAUCUCACAUCAAUGCAUCACGCACUUCAAAGAGCACCAAUUUCGCACAACAAUGGGCUCUAUACCGGUUUUUGAAUACCUUCGAGGUAUUAAAUCGAUUUUGAUGAACUUGCAUGCAUCACUUGUUGAUGAAGGUGACCUGGUUACCCACGCUCUCAACGGACUUGGAUAUGAGUACAAACAAAUAACUUUCUCUGAACCCGUGAGAACUCCGUAGCCUUUUAUGAACUAUACGACAUUCCUUGGACUAUGAAACAUUUCUACAACGUCCUGUUUCAACUACCCACGCUGCCUAUAGAGGCAAAACUACUCCUUUCAAAUACAAUAGUAACCAAAGUAGAUCAAAUGGAGGAUAAUCUUUUUUUUUUUUGAAAGAAUCAAAUGGAGGAUAAUCAGAUCAUAGGAGGUGGAGGAAGACCUAAAAAAAUUAUAAGAUAACUAUUAGGAAAUAGUUAGAGAUUAAUGAGUUGAACCAAAAUAUAUAUGAUUUAUGAUUUUUUUAUAGGAAAAUAUUAUUUAUGUCUAUAAAUAUGACUAUAUACAAGUCUUCAGACUCAUGUCUCUGAAUCUGCAACGUUGACGAUAUCAAAGUCAUUAAUUGAAUCUGCGCUUAUACAAAGUCAUCGAUUGUUGUUGAUUUUUUUUUAAAUGUAUAACAUAAUAUUAUUCAUUCAAUUUUAAUAGUGGAUGUAUGUAUUUCUCCUUAGUCCUUAUUCAUUUUAUUUCAUUGUGUAGUUUAGUCAAAAUGCUUUUAUUAUCUAGAGUUAAUUAAUACAAUAAAACAAGGUGAUUAUAAUAGUUAAAUAUAAAAAAUGAAACGAAAUAUAUAUAUAUAUAUAUAUAUAUAUAUAUAUAUAUAUAUAUAUAGUAUAUAAUCUCAAUUAUUUAAAAGUUUUCCUAAUUUAUAUAUACUAAUUUAACUAAGUAAAAUUUAAAUUAAGAACGUUGGUUUGCAUGCUCUUCAAAUUUGUGGCUCAUAUUUGUUUAGUAACAAUAUUAGUUGUUGUUAUUUUCAAGUGAUUUGUUUGAGUGUACCUAGGUGCUUUCAAAGAUGGCAAUUCUCAAAUUUUUGGCAACAAAAAAAUGCCCAAUUUGUAAAUGGUGGACAAAAUCAAAGUGUUAGCUUAUUGGUGGUUAAAGGUUAGGAACUAAAUUUGUUUAUUGAAUUGAGUAUUUGGUGGACUAGACUUGUCUUGCUGGUUUUAUUUAUUUGUGUUUGUUUUUUAUAUUUUGAACUAUUGUCGUCUACCAUUUUAAGUACAUCUUGAAUUAGAAUGACUUUUAUUAAUAUAUGUAUUAUCUGGCUUCUUAUAAAAGUUGUAAAGACCCUUCAAAGAAAUUGUGGAGAUAAUUUCUCUAGUUUUAUAGUAAUAUAAUAUGGUUUAUUUGUUAAUAAAAAAUAUAUUAUUUUAUAUGAUUAUUAUGUAUUAAAUGGGGAAGUUGAAUUUUUUUAUGGACUGGAAGUUGAAUUAUUAUUAUUUUUUUAUGGAAAGUUGACUUAGUUUUAUUAUAUAUGUAUUUCUCGGUCUUGAUAAAAAAAAAUGUAUUUUUUGGUAUUUAACAUUAUUAUAUAUCCCGUAAAAAAACAUUUUUUUUUUAGAGGCGUAAAAAAACAUUAUAUAUAUAUAUAUAUAUAUAUAUAUAUAUAUAUAUAUAUAUAUAUAUAUAUAUUUCUUAGGAAAGUAUUAUUAUAUAUUUUAUUUUGUCUGAUAUAUUUAUUUUCAUUUAAGAAAAAGUGGCAUUAUUAGAAAGAAAAAGUAAAGAAAAAGAAAAAAGUGGCAUAAAAUAAAAAGUAUGAAGAUCUAUCUUGUUCCGUCACAAUUUUUUGGCAAUUCAAUUUAGUCUUUUGACAAAAUAAAACCCAAUUUAAUUUAAUCAUUGACAUUUUUAUAAUGGAGGACAAAGUAGUCUUGAUUUAUUGUAAUAGAAUGAUUGAUUUGUUAUAAGCAUGGCGGCAAAAUCCACACCUGCGGGUAUCCGCUCAAACGCAUAUCAAUUUGACGGAUUUUCUUCAAUUUGAUCGGGUUUGAAUAUGAAUUUGGAUUUUCUCCGAUUUCAAAACACGAGUACGGGUAACGAUAUAUAUGUACUCACCCCGAACCAAUACCCAAAUUUGUCCCAAAUUCAUAAAAUUAUUUUAUGUCAAUAUGCUUAUUUUGUUUGAUAAUUGCUGUGUUAUCAAAACUACCAUUGAUAUUUAAAGGAGUAAAUCAAUCAAUCGGUCUAACAAAUGUUAAACUGAGUAUAUUACUAGAUGAUGCAUUAUAACAUUUUUCUAAUGAUUGCAAAAAAAAAAAAGUUAUAUUUUAUUAAAAAAAAUUAUUCAAGGAUGGGAUGAGGAUGGAGAUGGGGCGUGGAUACCCCGAACCCAUCGGGGACAAGGAUGAGGUUCAAAUUCUCAUCCUCGUUGGAUAUGAGUAGGGCAACGAGUAAGGAUAUGAGAAUCAUGUAUGAGGAUGGGGAAUGUAAAACUCGUCCCCACCCUGCCCCAUUGCUAUGCCUAACCAGGAUCGAUCGAGGAUGGGGACAGGGUCGGGUAUGAGUAAAAUAACACGUAAAUAUAUAAAAAUUGAAAUUAAAGACGAGAAAGAUAAAACUUGUCCACACUUCGUUCCAUUACCAUAUCUAAUUUGUUCCCAAUAGAACAACAUUAGAGAAUAAAUUUAAAUUAUAUUUUUGUCAAAGAAUCAAAAUGAGUUUUCACUCGACUAGAGAUAAAUAAAGAUUCCAUACCAAAUUUGAAGAACAGUGGUACGUACGUGCCACGCCACGCGGUGAAGAAAUGGAAAAUUAUUUCCAGCGAUAUGAUAAAAAACAUGAGGGUAUUAUUGUCAUUGAACCUUCACCUGAGCCUCUAUAUAAACCACCCCGCUCCCUCUUCUUAAUAAUAACCUAAACCAAUUCCAAUUCCAAUUUUUCUCUCUGCGCUCUUUCUUUCAACUGUUAUUUCUUUCAUUCUCUGUAAGUGCAAUACGAUUCUUCUUCUUUUCAUUUGUUUUGGUUUUGUGAUAAUUUCAGUGUUUUGAUUAUUUUUUUCUGUUUUUGAUAUUGCUCGAUUUAGGUCAUAUAUUCAGAAUUCUGAUUCAUAAAAGGGGAAAUCUAGAAGCUUUGAUCGGUCUCCAAUUGUUUUCUCCAAUUGUUUAAAAACUGUAAGUAUCACACUUUUAUUUUCUGUUUUCUUAGAUUGUUGAUUAUGGUUUUGGAUGAAGAAAUAUGCUUCAAUUUUUUGAAUGAAUAAAUUAAUUGAUUAUAACAAAAGCAUUUGAUAAAUUUUUUUUUUUCAUUCAAAAUUUCCCUUUUGUUUUUAAAAUCUGAAAGCUUUUGAUUCCUAAAAUUGAUUAUAAACCUCAAUCAUAUGUUUCUUAAAAAAAAUAUGUUAAUUUAUAAUUUCUGAAAAAAAAGUUGUCAAUGUUUAAUUGUAUUGUGGGAAGGUUAUCGUUACUUUCAAUUUUUAAUAAAUUGUAUGGUUAUUUUCCAAUAUUUUGUGUGCAUUGUUGAAGAUACAUUGUUUCACGCUGCAUAUUGAAUUUGUUUUGUUUUGAUUUAUAAAUAUUGAAUUAUGUGAUUUACUCAAAUUUUCCGUGCUUUAUAGCCCGUAAAUCAUGACAUUUUGAGUUGAUUUCUAGUUUUAGAAUAAAAAUACCACCUAGAUUUGGUUGCAUAGCUGUUUUAAGAAUUGGAUAUUGUCAUUAUCCAACUUGGAUGUAUGUGUUGUUCAUGCUAUUCUAUAUUAUUUCAUAUAACAUGUUGAAGUUCUAAUGAUUUCCAAUUCCAAGUUUUCCUUCGUGUUUUCCCAAAUUAUUUUCGUUAUCUACGACAAAUAGUAAUCCAGAAAUCAUGAUUUCUUUGCAAUUACUGGCUUAUUUUUGUGUUUGACAUUUUGCUUCUUUCUCUUGGCAGAAAGGUGUGUGAAUGAACUAAUGGAGUCUAAAGGUGGUAAAAAGAAGUCUAGCAGUAGUAAUUCCUCCUUUUUGUACGAAGCUCCUCUCGGUUACAUCAUUGAAGACGUUCGACCCAACGGUGGCGUAGAAAAAUUCAAAUCACCUGAUUACUCAAACGUAAUUUCCCAUUUCAAUUUCAAUUUUAAUUCCUUCGAUUAAUGUUAACAUUAUAGUAUAUAGUAUAAGAUUGGAUGAUUUGGCUUUGCUUUUUGACACCCUUUUUUCUUUAUUAUGCAGUGCACCCGCAAACCAUCCUGAGAUUUUCUGGGCGGUGAUAUAGUUCUUAGGUUUUUCAUUCUGCAAAAUUAUUC
rnacentral:lncRNA from 1 species